ensembl:lncRNA
AGUUAUAGGCCAUCCUGAACUGUCUGGCAAGACCCUUUCUCAACAAAACACAAAUAAGCAGAGUCCAACUGGGCACAUACCUUUAAUCCUAGCACUCUGGAGGCAGAGGAGUUUCAGGCCAGCCUGGUCUACAGAGCAAGUUCCAGGACAGCCAGGGCUGCAUAGAGAAAGCCUGUUUGGAAAAAACAAACACUAAAACAACAACAAAAAAUUUGUAAUUAUUAAAAAAGCAAAUGAGCAGAGUCCAAGUGUUGACAGUGUACCUUGCACUCUAAAUUCCUGUGUCCUACCCUGUCAGUUAGGCUGAUAAGGGUUAACCUCUUGGACAGGUUCUAAAUGCUAGACUGCUGAGAAACCUGGUGGUGGUGGUGGCAGAAGUGGCGGUAGUCCCUAGAUGGGUGAUUCUUUUUGUUUUUAUCACCCUAUCUCAAUGCCAAGGCUCUUGUCUGUUAUUUUCCAAAUCAAUAGGUAGGUUCUCAUCUGGGUAAUGUAGGAGUAGAGGACAAUGGUGAGUCUUCUGUCUCUGGAAGUGUCUGGGAAUAGGAUAGAGGAUGAAGAUUCUAGAAGGAGCAUACCUAUCAUAGUAUGUUGGAAAGCCAUUGGCUGCAGGAUGUUCAGGAAAUGUAGACCAUACCUAUUUUCUGGAUGGUUAGGGGCUGAGCAAAAACUACUAAACUCGGAGAAUCAGUACUACCUUUAAGCUUAAAUAUAUCCCUGCCAGGAAGGGGUAAGGCUCAGAAAGCUGAUAGAAUGUACUCAUGUCAACAUUAAGUGGUGGUGUGCUAGGUUUAAAACUUGAGUCUAGGGGUUGGGGAUUUAGCUCAGUGGUAGAGCGCUUGGCCUAGCAAGCGCAAGGCCCUGGGUUUGGUCCCCAGCUCCGGGGGAAAAAAAAAACUUAAAAAAAACCUUGAGUCUAAUUCAAGUCUUUUGUAGCCUUUUGUUUGUAUUAUUUUGCCUUCUCAACAAAGGAACACCACUCUGUAAUGUUUUCUGUCAUCAUGUAUUUAAAAUAUAUUUUCUCUACUCUUUUUUUAAAAAAAACAAAACGGUAGUUUUUUAUGGAAAACUAUCCUUUCUAAGUCUCUUUAAAUGAUGUCUAACUUAAUUCACUGAUUUCAUCUUAAGUUUUGAUAGACAAUAAUGUAUUAGAAAUAAAAGCAUCUAGAUUCUUGGGAACAUAAUCAUGCCAAAAUGAAAGAACUAAAACCAGAUGUGUGGCUCGCACCAGUACUCCAAGAACUCAGAAUGCUGAAGCAGGAGGAUGACUAUGAAGUUAAGUCCAGCCUGGGCUGCAGACUAAGAGGCAGUCUCAAAGCAAAACAACACAAUCUGGGACUCUAGGUAUUCUAACUCUAAUGUAUCUCAAGGUGGCGGGUAGCGUGUGCAUGCACAGACAGAGGGUCUCCCCCAUAUAACCCAGUGUGAUCCUGAAUUUUUUAGCCCACUAAUUAGCUUUCCAAGUACUGGGAUCGUGGUGUUUGCUGUCAUGCCUGACUAGUUCUUUAUUCUUAAAACAAAUUUCUGGGUCUUUAAAAAAUCCUUUUUAUACAGUAAAUCUCAUCCUUUUUAAUUUUAAGUUCUAUAAGUUUGGACACCUUUUAACAGGGGUGGUCUGCCACCAUAAUCAAGAUAGAGAAUUUUUAUGGCAUUGUCUCCAAACUUACUGUGUCUCCUAUAGUAUAGUCCUGUCCCCAUCCUAAGAGCCUAGCAGGCACAGAGGUCUUUCCUGUUCCGUAGUAUGAUGUUGUAAGUCACACAGGAGCUUAUUUUAUGGCAUUAAGCUUUUAGCUUUUUCCUUCUAACCCUGACAUUCACUGACGUGUGCUUUCACUUUAUGGACUGUCUUUUGAAAAGAGUUGUAAGUGGAAUUUAAUAGUAUGUAACUUUUGAGAAUAAUGUGCUAGAAAUUAGAGAUUUUAAAUCCGUAUCACUGGAUGUAUCAAUAGUUUUGAUUUCUGUUUCAUAUGCUAUUGUGUGGAUGUCUUACUGCUUAUUCAACCCCAAGUUGGAGGACAUUCGUUACAGUUGAGGAGGAAGUUGUGAAUAAAGC